CCGCGGGCCGCCGGGCCGGGGUCGCCGCCCGGGCUCGGUCAGUCGGUACCUUCAUGAAGGUCUCUACCGCGCCUUUGGCCGUGUCCAGAAAAAGAAAUGGAAACUAAGUAACAUGAAUUAACAUAGUCCAGGGUCACAAAGCAACAUGGAACAAGAACCUGGAUCUGAAUUCAGAGGCAGAAUGCUGGGAAAGGCCUUGUGAGGACAUAACCAGGAAGAGAGUCCUCACCAGAACCUGACCAUACCUGCACCCUGAUCUCAAGCUUCCAGCUUCCAGAACCAUGAGAAAUCAAUGUUUGUUGUUUUAGCCACCCAGUCUACAGAAAUUUGUUAUAGCCACCCUAGCUGACUACCACAUUGGACAUCACAGCAAACACUACAACCAAUAAAAGAAAUGGCUGAAAUCCUUUGGAACCAAUAUGACCAACUGGAGUCGGUGCAGAAGGAGCUUGCUGACAACGCAGCCUGAAUUUCCACCCUAUGUUUCAUACCAACUCCCCCUGAAUUUGCACAUGUGAUACAUGAGAUAGCAUGAAGAGAUAACUGAGCAUGCCCAAGGACUUUCCAGACUUCUGCUUUCCUUCCACCAAUCACCUGCUAAUCUCAGAAUCCACCCCCUGAAACUUUUCUAAUAAAAAUACUGUUUUGAAGGCAGCACAGGGAGACAGAUUUGAGCUUGACUUCUGUCUCCUUGGGAUUGACUUUCAGUACAAAGCUUUUCUUUUCUCAAGAACAUGGUGUCAUAGUAUGGGCUUCUAGUGCAUUGGACAGUGAGCCCCUUUUACUCGAUAACAAUAUCAGCUAUAUUUUUCUCCCUCUUUCACUGUGGACUAAGCAUUCAGCUUCCUCUUAUUAAUCCCAUAAAAUCCUAUACCAUUUGCGAGAUUUGCUUUAUGCAUAUUAGCAAUACAGUACAAAUAUAGUGUGUUUGAUUUGCACUGUAGUUGUAUUGUAUUGCCACUCUGUAUAAAAAUCCAAUCAUCAGCUAGAUACCUACCUAACAAAAAAGUUGCUCCUAGAAGGAAGGAAGCAAAGCUAAUGUUUAGUGGAUAUGACUGAGUGGCUUUUAUAAGCAGUCAUUUGAUAAAUAAACGUUUCUAGGU
rnacentral:lncRNA from 1 species